GUAGGGAAUCUUGCGCAAUGGGCGAAAGCCUGACGCAGCCAUGCCGCGUGAAUGAUGAAGGUCUUAGGAUUGUAAAAUUCUUUCACCGGGGACGAUAAUGACGGUACCCGGAGAAGAAGCUCCGGCUAACUUCGUGCCAGCAGCCGCGGUAAUACGAAGGGGGCUAGCGUUGCUCGGAAUUACUGGGCGUAAAGGGCGCGUAGGCGGACAGCUUAGUCAGAGGUGAAAGCCCAGGGCUCAACCUUGGAAUUGCCUUUGAUACUGGCUGUCUUGAGUUUGGGAGAGGUGAGUGGAACUCCGAGUGUAGAGGUGAAAUUCGUAGAUAUUCGGAAGAACACCAGUGGCGAAGGCGACUCACUGGCCCAAUACUGACGCUGAGGCGCGAAAGCGUGGGGAGCAAACAGGAUUAGAAACCCUGGUAGUCC
rnacentral:rRNA from 1 species